GCUGGGUGCAGUGGUGUGUGCCUGUAAUCCCUGCUACACAGGAGGCUGAGGUGGGAGGAUUGCUUGAGCCCAGGAGUUUGAGACUUUGAGUCUAUCCAGGGCAACAAAGCAAGACCCUGUCUCAA
rnacentral:SRP_RNA from 1 species